rnacentral:rRNA from 1 species
UACGAAGGGGGCUAGCGUUGCUCGGAAUGACUGGGCGUAAAGGGCGCGUAGGCGGCUUGCACCGUCAGAUGUGAAAUUCCUGGGCUCAACCUGGGGGCUGCAUUUGAUACGUGUGGGCUUGAGUGCGGAAGAGGGUCGUGGAAUUCCCAGUGUAGAGGUGAAAUUCGUAGAUAUUGGGAAGAACACCGGUGGCGAAGGCGGCGACCUGGUCCGUGACUGACGCUGAGGCGCGAAAGCGUGGGGAGCAAACAGG